CCUACGAAAAUAACCUACGCCCCGACCGCCGCCCGCGGGUCGCCCGCUCCCUCGCGCCCCCGUUGCUCCAUCCUCGAUCCCGAUCUGGAUCGAGGGGAUGAGGAGCUCCUGCCUCCCCGACGGCCGGCCUCCUCCUCGCCUCGCCGCUGUGUCCGGCGCCGCCAUGGCCUCUGGAGCCAGGGAAGCUCGUCCUCGAGGUCCCCGCCACCGUCUCCUGCAACGUCUGCCCUGCCGCCUCACCAGAUCCUUCGCCCUCGCAGCCGCCGCCGAUCCCCUCCCUCAAACGCCGCCGCCCGUCGCUGCAGCCCCCGCCACCUCCCGUCGCAAGCUUCUGUGCUGCCACACGAUCACAUCUGUCCUCCCUUGCGCUCCGAUCCGCACGAGAUCACCGAUUCUGCCUCCUGAUGCCACGCCGCUCCCCAGCGACGAGGCUGCUCCCAUUGUUCCCAUCGACGCUUCAUGAUCCACGGCCUCCCCCAUCCUCUUCUCCAUACAACACCGAUGUCGCCGUCCCGUAUUCCCCACCGCUGUCUUGCCAACUGUAGCACGCCGGAUCCUCUUCUUCAGAAGCUGCCGCCUCACGUGCAAUGCCACCACCCAUGGCCCUCCACGGACACCACCAUCACGGGCGUAACUUGGACAACAGACCCCAUGACGGCAGAAGGAAGAGCAAGUGGGGGGUAUCGAGACUGGCCACCAUCGUGAGGAUACCGGCGUCCGUGUGCGUGGUGAUGGCAUGGUGACGCAAGAAGGUCGUGUUCCUGGUGUGCCGCGUGCUCCGUCUCCAUCCACGUCCGCGACCGCAAGACAGGGAGAUGCAUCUGGAAGGAGGCACUGGGGCAACAUCAAGAAGUUCUGUUAAACUGAUUCAUAGCAGCAUCUCAAAGUUCAAUCAGAAGAAGCGCGACAUUGUGGUUUCUAUAGGGUGGGAGGUAUCCUCCAUAUCCCUGAGCCGAACAAGCUAAAUCUAAAGCCGGAUGUGUUCUUGCUUACACAUGUGGACAUAGAUAUAGGAGGGCAAUUGUAAUUGAUGAUGAUAGAACUUGCCCGUUUGAUGCCACGGACGUUGGGAAGGUAUUCGAUCAGGAUCCCUUGGACAGGCGCUCGUGUUGCUAACAAGAAGAAUGACUGCAUUCAGUCAGCAGCCAAGGAGAUCAGAUGAUGUUUAGGGAUUAUAGGGUCAAAAGAAGGAAGAAGUUUGAAAGCAGCUCAAGCAUUACUGGAAAAGAAUUAUAACUCACCGAUGACAGAGAAGGAGGUGCAUGCUUCCAAGGCAACACUUAUUAUUUUCCUUGUGGGAUACAUGAUGGCACCGAUGGCAAAAUAUGAUUAUUCAAGCCUAACAUACUGGCCAAUGCUUAUGGGUCCUGACAAUAUUCAUAAUUACAAGUGGGGUUAAUAUGUCAUGGAAGGCAUACUAGAGGCAGAUGACAAGCUAAAGUGUGAUGUCACAAGGAAGAAAUCCGUGACCAACAUAACCGGGUGUUCUAUUCCUUCAGGUGUUUUAUCUUCAUAGCCUUAACCUGGGUGAAAUAACAAUGCAGCAUGGAAUUCUUUUGAGAAUCAAGGUGUUCAACAACUAGAUUAUGAGGAUCAUGAUCAUUGGUGAUUGCAGCCGAUCUAUCAGCAAUAGAUCAAAAGUUGAUUUUCGGAGCAUCCAUGGUGUACUGAGUGCAGAGUAUAUGAAUUGCCUUUUGCUUGUUGUCUACUAACAUUCAAUUAUAAUCCAAUAGCCAAGAGACACGAAUAGCAGUGUGUGUUCACACAGGGCUGCAAUGCGUGAUGGUGUUGGCCAUUCAGGGCCUGAACCAAAGGACUUCAUACUAAAGCAGUUCCCUCGAUCGUGCAAGAAUGUAAUAAUUCAUUACUAAGGAUCAAGUUAUAGUUAUUGAAAAGUCGUGACUCGCUACUGCUGGGAGAUGCGCCUCCACACAUUCUAGGGGAAAGAGAUUUGGGCAUGACAAGAUGAAGCAGUUCAGGUCCAUGAUUUCUAUUAAACUUUUGCAAGGAACUCGAAUAAUAUGUUCUUAUGGUAAUACAAAAAUAUUAAUAUGUUAUUACAAUGUAUUUUCCAGCAGUCUCAUUGUUCAUUUAUGGAGUAAUACUAAUUGCUGUCAUUUUAUUUUUCAGGAUACCUCUAAUUAUUCUUAAUGUGAUACGUUUCAUUGCAGGGUGAUACGUAUGGAGGAAAAGAACCAGAGCAGCGCUAGCUUGGAUAAAAGUUUCAGUGACAGAAUUUGUUUGGCAUAUGUGGAAAUCUUGGUAAAGAUCUCAACACACCUGAGCAAUGAGCACAUGUUACCAACCACAACCCACACAGGAUAAAGGCGCAUGCGGCGGCGAGUUUAAUAGGGGCAUAAGAAACGAGAAUGGCGGGUGCGGUGACGGUCAUUCAUGUGUUGGACAAAAUAAUACACCCCAUCUGUGUCAUGAGGCUGGACUUGACAUAGACAUCAGCAAACAUGGAGCAUGGUGUUGAGGUGGGAGUCGGACGCAUGGAUGUACUUGACAAGGAGCAAGUAGACGUGAGCAUGCAUAGUGGGCAAUGCUCCCGAUGGUCAGGCGGAUGAGAAGACCGAAGAGGAAAGCCGCAUGUGCAUAUUUGUGGCGGAAUGGGGCUAGCUUGAGGCAAUUAGGUAGUGUCUAUUUGGACAGGUUGCCGACAGAGAAAAGUUCUAUAGUCUGGCUUGAUGAGUAACAUAGACAGGCAUGUUGGUGCUAUAAGGUUAUAUCCAUGGUUUAAUUUUGCAUCAGCAUUCCUGCUUCUUCGAACAUGUUUACUUACACAUUAAAAAUUGUGUAUGAAACCCCUUACAAAGCCAUUUGUAUCCAGUAUCCUAUAGUAAUAUAAAAGUACUGCAUGAUGUUGGAGUCGUGAAUUGUUGUUAAACUUUUGCAAGUGGUAACAGUACAAUGGUUUGCACACAUUGCCAUUGUGCUACUAAAUGAUCUGUAACAUUCAUGCCGAAAUUAUUUGGUUUUGGUCCUAUGCUUUUUUACCUGUUCAUUUACUGAUGAAGAUAGCAUAUGUUCAUAUUUUAAAAUUAUAGUUAUCUGUGCUUCUAGUUGAUAGAGAUCAAAAUAUUUCAGACUUUCAGACUGAAAUAUCUUUUCUUCCUUUGCUAUAAUUCAUGGGCCAUGGAAGAGAGGAGGGAAAGCAGAGGGAGUGCAGUGCCAAGGAAAUGCAGCAGGAAAGGUUGGAAAUAGCGUCGCUCGAGCGGGGAAGGGAAGGAGAGACGACCCGUGCGCAGGGGCGACACUACUGCUAUGCUACGGUUCAUGUUGGUGCCGCUGUUACUACAUUGAGAGAGACUGUCGCACCCGUUUGAUGUCUGAGCAUGCUCGGAAGUAUGAGUGAGAAAUAAGCUUCGGCCUUGGACAUGACCUUAAUCCAGGUCGCCGUCGGGACACCGUUGCCGAGGGCUGCGUGUCCGACACCCUUGAGACGCUCUUUCUUUCCGAGGCCACUACGGGGAGGCCUGUGCGCUUGCGCGUGCUCAUGUACGACCGGCAACUCCCGUGGGCGGGCUGCAUGGCGCGCGCCGCCGGCGUGCUGACGGCCACGCUCUUCUCGCAGCUCUGCUCGGUGGGCGUCAUCUACAGGAAGGUCUAUGCCGGCCGCUUCGACCCGUCGGUCAUGGAAGGGGGCGCGCUGCGGGGCCUGCUGAGUGGUGGAAGUGUCAUCAUUUGUGGCAGCACCGGAGUCAUACCGGUUGUUGCUGGAUGUAGUGGUGGGCCCGUUUGAAGGGUUUGUGGACGCCGCCGACGUCAUAGCAACUCGUUCCAUGAGCUUGAUAUCAAGAAAGUCGAUCUGUUGGGGGCACACAUGGGAACAAUGUGAUAGCUGAAUUAAUUCAAGAUCAUGUAUGUAGGUCUUCUAUAUGUUAUAUGAAAUUUCAUAACCCAUUUUUUCCCUUCAGGCAUCAACACGCGAACAGAGCUAUGAAUUAUUUUGUAUUCAGAUGACAUAAUGAGUGUUGAAUCUCAUAUACUUUGUUAUAAAGAGAUGAAAAUUGGUGCUCUUCUGACCUCUGCUGGAAUCAAUAUUGGUCUUUGUAUACUUUUUCUGUUAUUCUAUUCCAUUUUGAGGAAGAACCCACAAAAUGUUAAGGUCUAUUUUGGGAGAAGGAUUGCUGAACAACAUAAGAGGCUCCGAGGAGCUUUUAUUUUGGAGAUAUUUGUUUCAUCCCACAUAGGAGCAGCUGCUGGAAUAGAAAUAAAUUGCUUCUAUACAUGUAAGGCAUCGUGGGUACUCUUCUUACAGGAAACAUACCUACUUGGUCGCAUACUCGAGUGCAUUUUCUUGGUGGUGUGCUUCUCUUUUUUCUUGUAGUGCUCCAGAAGGUUCAUCAAAGUAGUCCUUUCGUUUGAUGCAUUAGCCUUUUUUUUGGGAUAUGCUAACUUGAUUUUGAUUUCUACAGGUGUAGCUAAGCUAGCACAAAGAAGGGGUGUCCCUAACAUGUUGUUGAUUCCAUUUCUUCUACUAUAUUAUAUGAAUAGUCAGUCUAAUUGCUGAUUCAGAAGUCUUCUAGGGAACAAGAUGCCCAACUCGUUAUCAUGUUGUGUGGGUUAAAACAAAUUUACAACUGAUGGUGGUUAUAAAGCUUGGCCGAAAUUUGUUUGUAAGUGAUGCUCUUCAGGUAACUUUCAAUAGUUGUAAUCCCCUUAAUUUCCAACUAAUUGAAUUGUUACUUAUAUGCAAUAUGAGGUGAAUUAUUCUGGAUCCAUAUAUGUAUUUAUCCCUAAUGAUUGGGCAUCUCUAAUGUAUGCCGGGUACAUUCCCUACAAGAUUGCAUAGCACCUUCGUAACAUUGAGCUAACGAUGCCUCAAGAUGCAUCCCAUGACACCGUAAGAGACACUAGAGGACUGUCAGGGGGAGAGCGAUCUUUUUCGACACUUUGCUUCGCUUUAGCACUUCAUGGGAUGAUAGAAGCACCUUUUAGGGCCAUGGAUGAGUUUGAUGUAUUCAUGGACGCGGUGAGCUGUAAAAUAAGCUUGGACACCCUUGUAGAUUUUGCUGUUGCACAAGGCUCACAAUGGAUAUUUAUAACACCGCAUGAUAUCAGCAUCGUGAAGCCUGGAGAUCACAAAUGGAAAAUCGCCUGUCUGUUACUGUGCUCAGUAGUGUAUAUAUCUCCUUAGCCUUAGCAUCCACGUUUGACAGAACCUGUCGGGAACUGCUCGCCUUGUAUUUAAGUUGUGCAUAGCUUGUUUCCAAAUGUGAACUCAACCAACACCACACGGGCUCAGUGCCCAUACAGCAAGGUAAGGUAUAGAUAGUUUCAUGUUUCUUCAAGGUACAUUAUUUUAUACUCCAUCCUGAGUUAUUUCUAGACGUACUUACGGCAGUUAGUGAUGUUUCCUCACCAUCAGUGACUGUGGCGUGCUCAUUGUAUUAUGGGAGCUUAGAGUCGUUAACAUUAAUUAUUUACAUUAUGGAUAUCAUCUUGAUGAUAAUUGUCAAUACAUACUCUGACCAGUUUGCAAUGUCAAAAUGUUGUAGUUAUAUAUAUUUUAUCCAUAAACUUUUAGUUUCAUGUUUUAGAGUUUUCGUUCUCAAAUUUGUAUGAAUUGGAUUCCAAUGCUCAAAACCUCAGUUUCAUAAGAAACAAUUCAUCAGCUAACAUACUUUUUUUUAAUGUACAGGAUGUUGAUUUCAUCAUAUUUAAAAAGAAGGAAAUGAAUAGGGUGAAGAAAUCUCAUCAUAUAAUCUCCUCUCCAAUUCACACUCAUAUAAGCAAACAAGCGGAGUGAGAGGAUGACGAGGCGUAAAUGGAGGCGGGGUCGGUCCGUCGUUGUGGCAGUCCAGGAGCACCACGGGGUUGCCGGCGACCCGUGUGCCGCAGGCAGCUGUUGGGAACGUCGAGCCACGAGACAACCUGUUGGCGUCGGACCCACAUCAGCGUCCCCAACUCCCCAUUGGCGGCACAUCCAUCCCCGCCACCACGUGCUGCCCUCCACCUCCUGCCCGUCGGUCCAUCAAUUUGAUCUCCUCAACAUAGCCGAUGAGCGAGUGCUGAAGUGUCCACAACGGCACAACCUAGAACGCGCGGCGAGAUCCAGCGACACCGAUGUGGAGGGAGGCGUCACGAGAGAUUGAAGCAAGCCUUGGUGGGGCUUCCCUGUUGCUGCUGCGAGAAGCAGAAGGAGGCGGUGUUACGUAGAAACGAAAUUUGUUUGUUUGCUUGAGUGAAUAUAUAUGUCUAAUGUAUACAAAAAAAUCGGUUAUGUGUUAAAAAUUUGAAGUAUGUGGUUGUUG
rnacentral:rRNA from 1 species